CAGACUUUUCCGGUUCUUGGUUGUCUUUUUACCAUGGUCAGUUAUAACGGAUUCAGGAUGAUGAUGAUAAUGGAGACGGUUUAUUGAGCACACUGUCGUUCCAGACUCGGUGCUUUGCACUUGAAUCAGCCCUUUAACUUUCACAAGAACCCUACAGGGGGAGCAGCACUCCUGGCUCUGCCCAGCGUUAGCUGCGUCCAAGGCUCAUCUGUAAAAUCAGGCCCGUCUGCAUUCCAGAAGUUUUCGCGGAAAGGAGAAUCCCCCAGAGGAAGGAACAGGCUGUUUCCAAAGAUUUCCUCUGGCUGCUAACCCGGGGCGGAGUGCGGUUUGCUCUUCCUAACGCAGUGACCCGACCAGAGAGCCAGAAAAAAAAAUAUGAAGAAAAUACCAAAGCCAAUGAGAUAAUAUUAAAAUGACUUUUUAGAGCUGUGGCUGGUCAGAAGCGUUAAAAGGAAUCCAUGUUGGUGGAGGUGGAGAACUCAAUCUACCCAAAUCAGGCAAUGAAAGGGAGAAAGAAAGAAAAGUGGAGAUAGGGAGUCAAAAGGAAUAGCAUUUUGUAUUGAGUCAAAUUAUAGAGAGCUUCUAUCAUCUUGCACUACCUGGGAAGAAAAUGAAAUUUUCAAUUUCCUAUAUACUCAUCAAUAAAACUGGCCAGAUUGAAGAGCGUGAGGAACAGUCUGGAGCUAUAUUGCAGGAAGAAGCUCUAAGCAACAACCAUCCUGGAGCCAGCAGCUCUGAACUGGCCCAGACUGGCCCAGACCACAACCACAAGAAUAACACCUGCGCAGAUAGGCAGAGAGUUGUACUAAAGUAACUUGCCUUCAUUAACAUUGUAAAUUCUUCUCCUCUGGGAGGGGCAAAGCAGCCAUUUUUAGAUCAUGCAAUGUCUGUAAAAGCAUGAUUUGAAACCAUACCUGUGCAAGCUUAUCCCCACCUCUACAUGUGAAAAUGAAACUUCCCCUUUGAAUAUUCAUUCUCUACCCCAAAUAAAGAUACCCACCUCCCCGUGCUCAGGGAGCCAUAACUUUGUGAAAUUAUUCCCUAUGGUCUCUGUAUUCGUUUCUGCAUGCUGCAAAUAAAAU